UUCAGAAUAAAUGUUCCCUGCAAUGAUCUGACAUGAACGAUCAUUUGUGUCCAGCUAAAACGAGAAAGAAGGAAGGGUUUAGUGCUAACCGUUGUAGGUUAAAAACCAGUAAAGUUCUCUAUCAUUAAGAGGAAUAAAACCAGCUCUUUUGCCCACAUCCACGAACUGAUGAACUUCUUGCUUAAAUCCAUGGCCUUGAGGAAAAACUGCUAAACCUCGCACAGCUGACCGCCCUGAAUGGACAGGUUCUGCCAGUCCUAGCCAACGUGCCACCACCGAGUUCACCCCAUCACAGCCUAUCAGAACCUUAGAUUUGAUUGUAGUUCCAUCUUCCAAAUGUAUAACAACAAUGGAAGCACCGCCUUACUCUUCAUUUUCAAUGACAGCUAGCUUGGAAGAGAAUUGAAUUGAGUCAACCGGCAAUUCCUCUGCCAGUGCCUCUAACAGUGCUUUGCGGUGAAGUGUCCUAAUUCCUUGUCCAUCGCCCCUAUUUCACACAAGACAAGGCAUUAAUUCACACCCAGAACUACGUCAUAGGAAGCGAAUAUUGAUGAGAGUGAAGUUUUGUCGGCAUAAACAUUAAGGAAUCCGGUCUGUCCAUUAUACAUCAGUAUAACUUUAUUGAACCGACAAAAAAUUUCUUUUAUGAUUCCGACAGCCAUUCAUAGUACAGAUCCUUGCAUGAAAUUGUACUAAAAAAUUAAUCAAGAAAUUAUUUUAUUAAGGUUCAAAAAGUUUACCCAUUAUUGGCCACUCGGGCGUGGACUUGUUGAACAUCUCCAGCACUAACAUUGGUUACAUAUCCCCUAAAUCAUACAAGAGGAAAAGAGAAGUGCACAGGAAACUAAUCAAUCACCCAGAAGAUAUAUAAUAUUCAAAUUCAAGAAACGAUGGACAGACAUGAUCAAAAGAAUAGAAUUAGUGUAGAGGGACAACUUAUUACAUCGAUGAAGGAGCAUAAAUGGGGGUGAGCUUGUGAGAAACACCGAGAGCAUCAAGAGCAAGCCAAGCAUUUGGAAAUAGAGUCAAGGCUGCACCUGUGGCUCUUAGCCCUUCUGAUCUCUCUAACACCAGGGCUCGAACCCCUACUCUUUUCAAAGCCACUGCUGUUGCCAACCCUGCAAUUCCUGCUCCGACUAUCACCACAUCCUCCAUCAUUUCCAUCUCCCUCUCCCUCUGCGUGUAUGAGUGUUUCCUUCUACAGGGUGCGUCGUCUUGUUCUUAUUAUAACCCCAUGUGCUUGGACUCCAAGUCUGACCAUGACCCACUUGUAUACAUAGUAUCUUGCAAGUAAUUAAGAAUAUAUUGUUUUUCUUCAUGGUUAUCUAGCCAAUUUGCGAGUUAAUAAAACUAAAUCUCUUUUUUGAACUAUUUAAAUAAAUAAAUAAAAAUCUAGAGGCGGCUCUUUGGUUAUUUAUCGUAUCUUUUGGAGUUAAGUAGAUAAGAACGUUCGAGGAGAGUGAUAAAGAAUUGUUUAAGCCAUAACGUUAAGCAAUCAUUUCAUAUUUUAUUUUGAUAAAAUUUCAAAUAUAUGAUAUCAAAUUUUGAUAAAAUUUCAAAUAUAUGAUAUCAAAUUAAAUCAUAAUUAUUAAAUUUAGGCAACAUGAUUGCUUGAUUUUUUAAUUGCAUCAGAUAAAAUAUUGAUCUAAUUAUUAUUUUUUUCGGUCAAAUUCAAAUUAAACUAGAUAUAAAAUAAUUACAUGAUCAAACCGGAUUCAAAUUAAACUAGAUAUAAAAUAAUCACAUGAUCAAACUGGAUUCAAAUUAAUCAACCCAAUAUCUUGUAAGAAAAAACUACUGUUUUAAUAAAAAUAGAUGUUUUGAUGACUUAUAUACUGACGUAAUAAUCUAACAACCCAAGCAUUUUCCAAGAUUAUUACCUAAGCUGAGUUUGACACCUAAUUAAAAGUGAACAUGCAUGAUUGAAAUUCGUAUUUCUUACCACCAGGGUGAUUGAAACCAAAUUCAGUUAUUAUAGGAUCUAAAAAUUAAUUUUUUAAUCUAUUUUUUUACUUUUAAACACAUUUAAUAAACACCCUUAUAAUUUUAACAAACUAAAUUCUUAAUUCAAAUAGCUUUGAAUUAGUCCAAAAACACAAAAUUAAAGUAAAAAAAAUUAUUUAUCAACUCUAAUUUACUUUUUCUGAUAAAAAAAAACACCAUAAUAUAACUCUUUCCAUCAAAUAAAGCCUAUUAAAACAAAAAACAACUAGUUGUCAUUGAAAUAUGAACAACCAUCAAUUAUCUUUGUUAAAGAGAAAAAGAUGAAAACUAAUAAGUGGUGGAUCAAUGAUUUAAUGACAAAUAUAGCUUUUAAAAUAUUUUUCUUCUCUUAAAAACAUAAUUAUUAAACAUGGUCUGAACUCUGAAUUGACAAAUUGAUCUAAAAAAUUUAAAAAUCAAAGUUUGACACAAGAUAAAUUUUUAAUUGAAUCAGAUAAAAUACUAAUCUUCCAAUCCUCAUCCAACUUGAUAAGUUUAAUGUUUUAUAGAAGAAAAAUAAAAAUUGUUAUUUUAAUAAAAUAAUUAACCUAGUGACCUAUUGAUUGAUAUAAUAACCCAAUUAUUCACAUCAAUCUCUAGAUUGGUCCGAAAACUAUUCUUCAGUUAUUUUUCCAAGUUUUCAAUUUCUUUUUUUUUCUAUUACCCAAAUUUUCUUAGAUAAGAAAGCGAACCAUAAACACACAUAUAUAACAAUAAUGUGAGGCAAAUAAUAAUAUCAAAGCAAAACAACAUUGACAAUAACUUCGAAGAAGAAAAAGACAGAAGCAAAAGAAAAUUCGUAUUUCUUACCUUCCUCUUCACUAUGAUAUUAUUCUUACUUUGACUAAUUAAUAAGACUUUUAAAAUAAAAAAACGACAAAACCAACAAAGAAGAAAAAGACUAACGCUACCUUCAACUUCACUAUGAUAUUUUGAUAGCAGCAGCAAGAGGCUAACUAUGUUGAAAUUGAGGGCAAUGCUCUAAAGAUAACAAUUUGCAGAAUCACUUGUCAGCACUGAAAUUUAGUCCUUCUUACUGGACAGAUCCAUUGCACCAAAGGAAAUAGCAGGAAGUCUUCCGCAGUCAUAAACAAAUACUAGUCUAGAAAGCCAGCCGAAAAAAUACUUGUAAAGUGCUCUGUCCCUGAGAAAUUUUAUCCACCAUUUAUCUCCUUGCUGCAUCCGUCCUGAUAAAUACGAUGCUGUGACAACCAUAGCGGCACGCCACCUCCUUUCCUUCACAUAAUCAUCUAUGGCUUUAGCCAUGUCUCCUGGAACAAUCAGGGCUCCAUUGUUUAUAAAUGAAUUGCCAAUGUGUCUGCCCAAUACCACAGCAUCUUCUAGUGAUGCACCACCACCGUUUCCUAGAUCAGGAGUCAUGGGGUGCAUAGCAUCACCAGCUACUGUCACAUUUCCUUUGCUUAGCUUUCCAAAUAUGAUCCCCCAUGGAGGCCUAAACAUCAAUGGUGCCCAUGAUAAUGAGGAAAGAUCGGCAUGCCGCACCACGUCUAGGUAUUCUGAGGGAAAUUUUUCUGUACAUUUCUCAAGCACAUCCCUUUGCAUUUUCUCUGCCUCUCCUGACAUCUUUUCCCCUGAAAUCAAAAUUAGCUCACUAUAAAACUUUCCCUGAAAUGAUCUGAUCACAUGAACCAAUAUUUGUGUCUUGCUAAAAUGAGAGAGAAAUUAAAGGGAUGAAGAGUGCUAAGUGCUUGCCUUGGCUAGAAAAAAACCAGUAAAGUUCCCUAUCAUUAAGAGGAACAAAACCAGCCUUAUCGCUCUCAUCCAUGAAAAAAAGAAAUUCUUGUUUAAAUCCAUGGCCUUGAGGAAAAACUGCUAAACCCCGCACCGUUGAUCGACCUGAAUGGACCAGUUCUGCCAGUCCUAGCCAUCGUGCCACGAACGAGUGCACCCCAUCGCAGCCUAUCAGAACCUUAGAUUUGAUAGUAGUUCCAUCUUCCAAGUGUACAGCAGCCAUGGAAGCAUCACCUCCUUGUUCUAGACUUUGAAAAGCAACUAGCCUCGAAGAGAAUCGAAUUGAGUCAGUUGCCAAUUCCUCUGCCAGUGCCUCUAACAACACUUUACGGUGAAGAGUCCUAAUUCCUUGUCGAGGGUAGAGGACUUCUCGAACUUCUCCGGUACUAACAUUGGUUACGUAUCCCCUAAAUCGUGAGAAAAAGAAGUUCACGAGAAAUUAAUCUAUCAUCCAAAGUAUUAAAAUCCAAAUUCAAGAAUUUAUAAAUAAUCAAACAUAAUGAAAAGAAAAAAUUAACAUGGUGAAACAAUUUAUUACUUGGGUGAAGGAGUAUAAAGGGGGAUGAGCUUGUGAGAAACACCAAGAGCAUCAAGGGCAAGCCAGGCAUUUGGAGAUAGGGUCAACGCUGUACCAGUGGCUCUUAGCCCUUCUGAUCUCUCUAACACCAGGGCUCGAACCCCUACUCUUUUCAAAGCCACUGCUGUUGCCAAGCCUGCAAUUCCUGCUCCAACUAUCACCACAUCCUCCAUCAGUUCCAUUUCUUCUUCUUCUUCUUCUAUGUGUGUGUGUUGCCGAUUACAUUGGCUAUUUGACUUCAUGUUGUUCUAAUUUAUAGCCCAAUGGGCUUGGAUUCCAAGUCUGGCCAUGACCCACAUAGAUUUACGUACCAUGUCUGGCAAGAAUGUUGAUGGAGAAUACAUUGACGGCUGCUGCCUUUUGGACCCAAUGCAUGGCACAGUCUUGUACCGGCCCGCCUGGCAGGCUAAACCAGUAAGUAACCUGUCGAUAUGACCUCCUAACCCGAUGCCAUGUUUUAAAUUAAACCCGGGUUUUUUUUCAAAAUAAUAUUAUUUUAUUACUAUUAUUAUUGAAACAAAAUUAUUUUAGGUUUACUAAAGUGAACUUAGAUUAAUAUGUUGAAUUAGUAAUGCAAUAUUGAAUCAAGUUUAAUAAUGGUGACCUAAAGUCCUAAUGUUUUAAAUUCACCCCAUGAUGACUUUAACUUAAAAUUCCUGAGGCAAGGCAAGAUUCGAAUAUUAUUUUGAAAUUGGCAACCUCUAUCUCUACAAGUUGUAUGUACGUCUCAGACUAUCGCUUCUGUAGCUGGUGGUAGAUAGAAAUUUCUGCAGCAGGAAGAUGGCACACCAUGAGGCAACAGAUGAUUGCUUUCAGCAGAAAUCCCUUAGGCAAAUACCGUUUGACAAGUCAACAGAGUCUCUUUCUUUGAACCAAAUUCUUUUUGUCAAAUCUGAUAGACAAGCAGAAGAAACUUUGAAAAAUCUCUAGAAACCCUUGGAAGAUUUCUCUUUAAACUAAUCUUAGCUGUUAAUAGUUCAGGCUUUUAUUAAGAGAAGGCACAACAUUAAGAGGGUAUUCAAAACUUUUUGGUUAAGACCAUGAGAUCAUCGAGAGCUAUCAACAAAGGUAUAAUGAUUGUAACGUGUUUCUCAUUAUUUGUGAAAAAUAAUUUACAUUUUGAUAUGUAUAUGCACAACAUAAAAUUCAAAUCCUAUGUUGUUAGAAAAGAAAUCAGUCACCAUAUUUAUAUAUUUUGAUAACCACGUUAGUAAUUCGGCGUCGUCAGAACCUCCAAAAUAUAUUUCUAACUUUACUAUCACAAACAAAAUAAAUUCUUAGUAUAAUCAUGAUGUAACAUCCUCAAAUUAUAAUGUCAUAAAGUAUCAUAUUAGAAGGCUCUAUACAAAUUUUUCAGAAUUUUCUGAUAACCCGAUCAAGAAUUACAAAUUUUUUUGUUUUACAUGAAACUAGUCAAUUUAUGAUUUUUCGCCUAGAGAUUUUACACGUGAAAACCAGGUUAAACUCAAGGGAAAUUUCGUUUAAUAUUUCUAUAAUAUACUGAAAUGAAAAAGAACAAAGGAUUUGAAUAAAAAUUAAAAAAAAUAAAAUUCUGAAAAUAAAAUUAAUAAAUUGAUAUGUUGUUAACUCAGUUUAAAGGUUCUUACAUCCAUUUCUAUAAAUUUGUUGAUCAUCUAAGUAAAAUAAAUAUUCUUUUAUGUCAAGCAAAUAAAUUUGAUAUCCCUUAAAAUAGAGAGAAAUCGAUGAGAUUACGAGUACAUUAAUUAGACAAAGCUCUCUAAUCAAUUUCUUACCAUCAAACGAAUUUAAUAUUGAAAGCAAUUCUUAUUCACUCGGCAGUAGCCUUAGUAGUAAAGUUUGUGAAAUUAUUCUAAGCAAACUUUCAAAAGCUUGACAAUUUAACUUAAUUUAUUCUUUCCUAAUAAAUCAACAUGAGAAUUGCAACAAUCAAAUUAAUUCUUUUGCCUCUUAUUUUAGUCCCUAACAACAAUCACGGAUUGAAUGAAAUUAAAAAGCAUACAUGUCAUCUCAAAACAAUUCAAUAAGCUUGAAUAAUAGUCAAUAACAUAAUUCUGAAUAAGAAAAAAUAAAUAUUAAUUUUGAAAGAAUUUUGAAAGAAUUACAAUGAUAACAUUACUUCUCAUAACUUGUUAAUGGAGAUGGUGUGUAUUUCUCUUGAACUAAAAGCCAAAGUUUAGUUCAUAACUGCUAGAGAAUUGACAAAAACAGAGAAAAAAAGAAUGUUGCAAAGCCUCUGUUUCAGUCGUGUUCUGCUCUAUUUAUUCUCUCCCUUGGCUGUCGAAUUUCUUCAGAAUUCUUAGGUUAAUUAGAAGUCCUUAUGCUACUUAACUCCUUCCUUCUAUAUAUAGUCUCUAAGGUUGGUUAAAUCUCUCAGAAUUUGGUUGAAAAUAGACUCUGCUGCUGUCACAACUCUGCUGCAAUUCAAACUCUGCUGCAACUUAGACUUUGUUUCUAACAUGAUUUCUGGCAAUAUUCGACCAUUUCAGCUAUAUUCUUUCAUUCAUGGCAUGUUAGAGGCUUGAUUUACGCCUUUCUUAGGUCCUAAGGCCCACCUUUUCUAUGCCAGACUCUUAGCUGUAAUGUGAUGCUUGGCACUGUUAGUUUCCUUAUCAAAUUAGAAGACCAAUCUCAUCCUUCAGAUUGCGUCCAACAGUUUGUCUUCAAAACGAUUUUAUCUGACCUGAAAUCCUUCAUAAAAGUUGUAGCCCUAGAUGUGUAGAUGAUUUUGGGCUUUUGAAUCAUAUGAUUUUGAUGUUUGAGACUCAAAGAUAUACUUAUUUGAAUCUGUAAUGUGAAAGUAGAGGAUUUUGUUAUAAGUAAGAUUUCGGUUCGAUUUUGCGGGUCUGAUUAGAGGUCCAAUAGAAUUCAUAUUUCUACCCAUAAUACCUUUCUAGGAAGCUUGAUAUGUUUACUUUAACUUUUAUUUAGCCCAUGUUCACAUUAUAAAAUUAUAACUUAGUAAACAACUUGUCAUAAGAAGAAAAGUCUGAAACAUAAAAUAUAGAAAUUCUUAUAUUUUAGCAAUUAAUUUACAAAGUUUCCUAUACAUACUAAACUCAUAAAAAUAACUUUUAAUAAGCCCAGAUAAGUUCAAAAUACAUAAAAAUAUAAUAUAAAAAGAAUAAAAACAUAUGUAUAUUUUGCAUUUAUCAGUCAUAUUGUAAAAAAUAAUAAUUUAAAGUAAAGAAAUAUUAUUUAGUGCAUUUAGAUGAAUAAAUUAUUUUGAAUGGUGAUACCCAAAUUUGAAUUCAAAAAAUUAAAAUAAUUUCUCUUAAAUACCAACCUCACCAUUCAAUUUACAUAAAUGAUAUUUAUUAUAUACACACACAUUAGUUUAUGCAUGGAUUUCUCUCCUUACUGGGGUAAAAUGAAUGAGUUCUACAACAUCUUAUUUGCAUAUUUUUUGAAAAGUUGUUAAUUAAUGAUGCCAAACAUUUAAUUGGUGUUGAUAAUCACGAGAUUUCUUAAAUAACUUUCACACAUCUCAUUUGAGUAGACACCCAAAUUAGACUCCGAGUACGUGCUUUUUUUAUUUUAGAAUUUUGAUUUUUCAUGCCUUGUAAAGAUCAAUUUCUAAUCUAAAAAAUGAUUAGAUUAGAAAUAGGAAUUUCCCAUCUUCCAUUGUGUAAUGCAAGAGCCUUUGGAUCUCCUAGGAAAAGAACAAGAACACGGGUCUAAAUACAUUUUGUUAAUUUAUCUCUGCUUUGAUCGAGUCAAUAAAAAAUAUAGGCACCAAACUGAAAUCUGCACUAGCUCGAGUUAGAGUACGAUCAAGCCUACAAAGUACAAACACUCCAUAACAGUACCAAAAGAAACGGUUUUGAGUGAAUUUUUAUUUUUUCAGAACAUAAAUUAUAAAUUACAGAGCAUAAAGAGACAUGUUUUUCUUUUUUAUUUGUCUCGAGACACCAAAAAAUAUAUAAAAAGACUGGUUAACUAGAAAUUGUGAGCCAUUGUCUGAAACCACUCAUCUGCAGAAUCUAUAUGCCAAAAUUGAAUCUAGUCCUUCUUACUUGAGUGAUCCAUAUCAUCGAAGGACAUAGCAGGAAGUUUGCCACAAUCUUUAUGCACAAGUCCAGAAAUCCUGCCAAAAAGAUACUUGUAAAAUAUUCCAUCCCUUAAGAAUUUCAUCCACCAUUUAUCUCCACCGAGCUGCACCCAACCUGCUAAAUAUGAUCCUGUGACAAGAAAAGCAGCACGCCACCUCCUUUCCUUCACAUAAUCAUCUAUGGCUUUAGCCAUGUCUCCUGGAACAAUCAGCCCUCCAUUGUUUAUAACUGAAUUGCCAAUGUGUCUGCCCAAUACCACAGCAUCUUCUAGUGAUGAACCACCGCCUUGUCCUAGGUCAGGAGUCAUGGGGUGCAUAGCAUCACCAGCUACUGUCACAUGUCCUUUGCUUAGCUUUCCAAAUAUGAUGCCCCAUGGCUGCCUAAACAUCAACGGUGCCCAUGUUAAUGUUGAAAGAUCAGCAUGGCGGACCACGUCUAGGUAUGUUGAAGGAAACUUUUCUACAUGUUUCUCAAGUACAUGUUUCUGUAUUUGUUCGGGCUCUCCUGCCAUCUUAUCUCCUGAAUUGAAAAUUAGUUCAGAAUAAAUGUUCCCCGCAAUGAUCUGACAUGAACGAUCAUUUGUGUCCAGCUAAAACGAGAAAUAAGGAAGGGUUUAGUGCUAACCGCUGUAGGUUAAAAACCAGUAAAGUUCUCUGUCAUUAAGAGGAACAAAACCAGCUCUUUUGCCCACAUCCACGAACUGAUGAACUUCUUGCUUAAAUCCAUGGCCUUGAGGAAAAACUGCUAAACCUCGCACAGCUGACCGCCCUGAAUGGACAGGUUCUGCCAGUCCUAGCCAACGUGCCACCACCGAGUUCACCCCAUCACAGCCUAUCAGAACCUUAGAUUUGAUUGUAGUUCCAUCUUCCAAAUGUAUAACAACAAUGGAAGCACCGCCUUGCUCUUCAUUUUCAAUGACAGCUAGCUUGGAAGAGAAUUGAAUUGAGUCAACCGGCAAUUCCUCUGCCAGUGCCUCUAACAGUGCUUUGCGGUGAAGUGUCCUAAUUCCUUGUACAUCGCCCCUAUUUCACACAAGACAAGGCAUUAAUUCACACCCAGAACUACGUCAUAGGAAGCGAAUGUUGAUGAGAGUGGAGUUUUGUCGGCAUACACAUGAAGGAAUCCGGUCUGUCCAUUAUAAAUCAAUAUUACUAUAAUAUUGAACCGACAAAAAUUUCUUUUAUGAUUCGUACAGCCAUUCAUACUACAGAUCCUUGCAUGAAAUUGUACUAAAAAAUUAAUCAAGAAAUUAUUUUAUUAAGGUUCAAAAAGUUUACCCAGUAUUGGCCACUCGGAAGAGGACUUGUUGAACAUCUCCAGCACUAACAUUGGUUACAUAUCCCCUAAAUCAUACAAGGGGAAAAGAAAAGUGCACAGGAAACUAAUCAAUCACCCAGAAGAUAUAUAAUAUUCAAAUUCAAGAAACGAUGGACAGACAUGAUCAAAAGAAUAGAAUUAGUGUAGAGGAACAACUUAUUACAUCGAUGUAGGAGCAUAAAUGGGGGUGAGCUUGUGAGAAACACCAAGAGCAUCAAGAGCAGGCCAAGCAUUUGGAAAUAGAGUCAAGGCUGCACCUGUGGCUCUUAGCCCUUCUGAUCUCUCUAACACCAGGGCUCGAACCCCUACUCUUUUCAAAGCCACUGCUGUUGCCAACCCUGCAAUUCCUGCUCCGACUAUCACCACAUCCUCCAUCAUUUCCAUCUCUCUCUCCCUCUGCGUGUAUGAGUGUUUCCUUCCACAGGGUGCCUCGUCUUGUUCUUAUUAUAACCCCAUGUGCUUGGACUCCAAGUCUGACCAUGACGCACUUGUAUACAUAGUAUCUUAAUGUUUUUCUUCAUGGUUAUCGAGCCACUUUGCGAGUUAAUAAAACUAAAUCUCUUUUUUUGAACUAUUUAAAUAAAUAAAUAAAAAACUAGAGGCGGCUCUUUGGUUAUUUAACGUAUAUUUUAAGAGAAUUUUUUUAUUUAAUUUUUUUUAAUGUUUUCAAUCGAUUUGAUAUAUUGAUAUCAAAAAUAAUUUUUUUAAAUAAAAAAAUAUUAUUUUGAUAUAUUUCAGAGUAAAAAACACUUUAAAAAAUAACAACUACCACACUCUCAAACAUCCUUUUAAAGAGCUGCUGUGACAUUGUAUUGUUUUAGGGUUUUCAUUUUAUUUUUGCGUUUCAAAAACGUUUUUGAAAAAAUUUAAAAUUUUUUAAUGUUUUUCUUUGCUUCAAAAUUUUUUUUGGUGUUUUUAAUUCAUUUUCAUGCGUAGAUAUUAAAAAUAAUUUUUAAAAAAUAAAAAAAAUAUUAUUUUGAUAUAUUUACUAGUAAAAAAUACUUUAAAAAAUAACAACAACCACCUUAAAAUGUGGUUUGUUAUAGUUGAGAUUAUAUUUUGUUGUUAUUAUUAUAGCUUUUGAAAGUGUUUUAAUUAAUUAAUAUAUAUUAGAUAUUUUACUUAAAAAUCUUUCUUGAAAUUUUUGUUAAAAAAAAUAUAAUUUAUAAUUAUUUUUAAACUAAUUGUUUUAAACACCACUGCAAAAACUACUAAGAUACUGUAUACACAUUUGUAUAACACAAUUUUUAGAACCAAAGGUAAUAUUAUAAUGUUUGUAUUUGUGUUUUAAAAGUAUUUUUUUAAAAAAUAAUUUUUUAAUUUUUAUUUACUUUAAAUUAAUAUUAUUUUUUUUAGAAUUUUUAGAUCAUGCAUUUAUCUCAAAAAUAAAUUUUUAAUAUAAAAAAAAUAUUAUUUUAAUAUAUACCACAACCACCAAACCCAAGGUGAACUUGUAAGUGCUCCUCCGAUGACAAGAUUCCAUACGUUUUGAAAUCGACAACGUUUGUUUAAACAAUCUCUCUCUCUCUCUCUCUCUCUCUCUAUAUAUAUAUAUAUAUAUAUAUAUUAAAGUAAAAGCAUUUUUGUUUGUGGUCGUGGAAUCCACAGCACAUACAAAUUAAAGUAACCCACAGCACAUACAAAUUAAAGUAACCCCUACCGCGUGAUAAAGAAUUGUUUAAGCCAUAAAGUUAAGCAAUCAUUUCAUAUUUUAUUAAAUUAAAUCAUAAUUAUUAAAUUUAGGCAACAUGAUGGGUCAAAGAACCAUCUCAACCCAAAAACUUAAGCUAUUAGGUGAGGUUCCAGAAUAUGAUUUAUAUUAUUCCCUAACACACCCCCUCAAGUGAAAACCCUUUGGGCUUGAAACUUGCACAGACCCACAUUACCUUGUGCUUAAUUUUUAUCAAAUAAAUAGGGAUGAUGAGAUUCGAACUCGAGACCAUUUGGUCAUCAAGGCUCUAAUACCAUGUCAAAGAACCAUCUCAACCCAAAAGCUUAAGCUAUUAGGUGAGGUCCUAGAAUAUGAUUUAUAUUAUUCUCUAAUAAGAUGAAACAUAAUCUAAACUAAAUUAUUAAUUGCAUCAAAUAAAAUAUUAAUUUAAUUAAUUUUUUUUAUUCAGUCAAAUUUAAAUUGAACUAGAUAUAAAAUAAUCACAUGAUCAAAUUCAUUGAUCUAAUUAGGAUUUUAAUUAUUUUAUUAACCCAACUAAACUGGAUUCAAAUUAAUCAACCCAAUAUCUUGUAAGAAAAAACUAAUGUUUUAAUAAAAAUAGAUGUUUUGAUGACUUAUAUAUUGACGUAAUAAUCUAACAAUCCAAGCAUUUUCCAAAAUUAUUACCUAAUCUGAGUUUGACACCUAAUUAAAAGUGAACAUGCAUGAUUGAAAGAAGACAAAACAUAACGACAUCUUUUCUCAUUUUCUCUAUUGAAAUCUCGAUGUUGGAGAGUAUAGUGGUAAUUAUAAUUUAAUGUUUUUUAUUAGAAAUAUAUUAAAAAAAUUAUUUUUAAUAUUUGUAUGUCAAAAUGAUUUGAAAAAAAAUUAAUUUUAAAUAAAAAAAUUAAAAUUUUAAGAAAUGUAAUUUUAACAUGUUAGAGAAUUUAUAUCUUGGAAUCUCAUAUAACAAUUUAAAUUAUUGGGUUGAGUUGGUUUUUUGACAUAAUAUCAGAGAUUUAAUGACUAAGUAAUUAUAAGUUCGAAUUUCAUCAUCUCUAUUUAUUUGAUAAAAAUUAAACACAAGAUAGUGUGAGCUUGUGCAAAUUUCAAGUUUAAAAAACUUUAACUUAAAAAAAUAUAUUAAAAAAUAAUAUAAAUUAUAUCUUAAAAUUUUAUUUAAUAAUUUAAAUUAUUAAAUUAAAUUAAUUACUAAAAUAACCGGAAUACCAAAUACUACCUUAAUUCCUCUGUGUUUACAGCGUUUAAACUUUAAACGCAUGAGUCAGAUUUUUUAAGGGUAGGAUCUAGGAUCUUUAGUGUUGUGUCUAGAAGUGUUUAUUGAUAUAAUUAGGCGGGGUUAGAGUUUAUAACUAAUUUAAUUUUUAAUAUUUUAUAAAUUUAGAUGUGGGCAUUUUAUGAAUUUACAAAUCUUGCAAGGAGAAAAAAAAUCAUCAUAGUACGUUGUAACAGGUGUGAUUAAUUUAUUGCAUCACCUGGAUGGUCGAAUGAUUUGUUUUUCCUUGCAUGUGCCUGAGUCCAAGGUUAGGUAAGAUGUAGCUUCGAUCGAAUCAAUAAUAACAUAGAUUAAUUUUGAGUGGCAUAAUUUAAUUGAUAAAACUUUAAAUUUAUUUUUUAAAAAUCAUCAGUUUGAGUUUUUCAGAGCCACUAAAGAUUUACAUGGUCAUUAACUUCAAAACUCGUAAAAUUAACUGAAAUACAUACAAGCUCAUCCGGAUACUCACAUUAAUUUAAAAUAAUAAUAAUAAUAACAUAGGCCCAAACGUAAGACUGGCACAUGCCAGCAGUUGCCUGUGUUCAAGACGUUUGGUCUCCGCUUCAUUAAGGAUUAUAUAUUUACGUAUACUACUUUCAAUUUAAAAGUUUAAAAUUAUUUAUAUAUAGAUAUCUUAUUUUAAUUUUUCCAUUACUAAUGAAUAUUCUACCUACUCAUAUAAACAUUUAACAACACAAAAUCGAAAGUAUUUGUUCCGUAUAAAAUUAUUUAGUUUGAACAAAACAUUUUAUAAUUUAUUGUUUGGCUUGUUAACGAAUACUAUUUCAAAAUAGUUAUUUGGGGUUCGAAAUUAGUGAGAUGCUAGUUAGUUGAAGGUCGGAUUAAAUUUCCUUUUUGAUUAAAAAAAAUAAAAUUCAACCAUUGUUAUCAUGUUUUCUAACAGUAAAAAAUAAAUUUGAUUUGUAAAUUCAAAAUUUUUAGUGUACAUUUAAUAAAAUUGAUUGAGGUUUUUAUACACUAAUAAAUUUUUUUAAAGAAUUAUUAAUGCUAAAUAAAAUUCAAGUUGAAAAUUUGAAAAAUAAAUACAAAUCAAGACACCUAAUCUUGUUUUGCAAGGAGCCCUCAAAGCUUUUUUGUUUAUUAAUAUGAAAAUGUAUUUUUAUCUAUAUAAAAAGAGCAAUAAUAUAUUUAAAUUUCAUUGAAACAAAUUAAUUUUCUAGCAUUAUCCCUUUUUUAUCAAUACAUGUUACCUCUACAAAAAAAAAUAAUUUUUUUGUUGUUCUAUAUCAUUUAUUUAAUAAAAAUAAAAAUAAAAAUAAAAAUUAAUUAAAGCAAAUAUAAAAAAAAUCUUGGACGCUUUAAGAUAAGGAUAAAACAAGCAUUUGUCUAAUUAAAACCAUUUUAUCUUAUUAACAUGCUUAAGAGAAGUUUUUUUUUACAACAUUUUAUCUUGAUUAUAAAAGAAAGUAUUAAUUUUUUUAAAUGAUAUUCUAGGAAUUUCAACACAAAUAUAUUAAAAAAAUAAAAAUAAUAUAUUGUUUGCACGUUGUCGUGGGGAACUCUUUGGUAGCGUUAUUAAACUCGGUUUUGCCUGGUAGGUCAACCUAAAGUCACUUUGACCUGGCUCCUACCUUGGCUCAAGUUUCAAAUUAAAUAGUAUAGGAAUUGACAUAAUAUAAUCAGAUCAAUUUGAUGAGUCUAAAGUAACCCAAUCAAAACCUGAUUUGAAUUAAAAAAAUUAUAAAUGCUAGUAUUUAUUUAUUUAUUUUAUAGAAAAAUAUAACACAACAACAUUCUAAGUCGAUUCAGGUCUUCAGGUUUGGCCUAAUUGACUAGGUUGAUUAGGCAAAAACCAGUUGUUUAAAAGAUUAUUAAAAAACAACAUUAAUCUAACUUUUUUAUAUAUAAGAAAAAAAUAUUGGAAUGAUGAUAUUUUAGAUAGACCUAAGUUAAGUAUGUUAACUCACCUAACUUAUGAUGAAGAUCAUAAUCCUUGCUUUAAUAACCAUGCCUUUUGAAAUCUUUUUUUUUAAUUGAAUGAUUAACAAUUUUAAAAAUUAGAGGAAGGGUGUCAAUUAAAUAGUAAAUAAAAAUAAUAAUGCAAAAUAAAAAAAACUCAUAUAAAGAAGGGUAUUGAUUAAAAUUUAAAAAAACAAAAAAUAAAAACAAAUAACAAAACAUAAAGCACUAGGUGUGGUUGGGCCUAGCAGACUAGCCUUGUGUGACUAACCAAUAACCCAAAAGCCUAGGUGCACCUCGGCCUGAAAACCCAAGCCCGAGCAACAAGGUUUAUUGUUUUUGUAAGGAUGGAUGACAUAUCAUCUAUGUUUUCUAAAAAAAAAGAUAACAUGUCAUUUGUUGUGGUGGAUAAUGAGUUGUCAUGAAGUCCAGUUUCUAACCACCAAAGUGAUUGGGAAACCAAAGUUAGUUCUUAUAGGAUCUAAAAGUUAAUUUUCUAAUCUAUUUUUUUCUUCUAAACACAUCUAAUAAACACCCUUAAAGUCUCAACAAACUAAAUUCGUAAAAAAUAUUAUUUGUUAGCCCAGAUCUACUUUUUUUGACAAAAAAAACACCAUAAUAUAACUCUUUCCAUCAAAUAAAACCUAUUGACUCAAAAAACAACUAGUUUUGUCAUUGAAAUUUGAACAACCAUCAAUUAUCUUUCUUAAAGAGAAAAAGAUGAAAACUAAUUAGUGGUGGAUCAAUGAUUUAAUGACAAAUAUAGCUUUUAAAAUAAUUUUCAUCUCUUAAAAACAUAAUUAUUAAACAUGACCUGAACUCUAAAUUGAUAAAUUGAUCUAAAAAAUUUAAAAAUCAAAGUUUGACACAAGAUAAAUUUUUAAUUGAAUCAGAUAAAAUACUAAUCUUCCAAUCCUCAAUCAACUUGAUAAGUUUAAUGUUUUAUAGAAGAAAAAUAAAAAAUUGUUAUUUUAAUAAAAUAAUUAACCUAGUGACCUAUUGAUUGAUAUAAUAACCCAAUUAUUCACAUCAAUCUCUAGAUUGGUCUGAAAACUAUUCUUAAGUUAUUUUUCUAAGUUUUCAAUUUCUUUUUCUUUGGACAAAAAGUAUUUUCUAUUACCCAAAUUUUCUUAGAUAAGAAAGCGAACCAUAAACAGUAAACACACAUAUAUAACAAUAAUGUGAGGCAAAUAAUAAUAUAAAAGCAAAACAACAUUGACAAUAACUUGGAAGAAGAAAAAGACAGAAGCAAAAGAAAAUUCGUAUUUCUUACCUUCCUCUUCACUAUGAUAUUAUUCUUACUUUGACUAAUUAAUGAGACUUUUUUUUUUUUUAAAAAAAAGAAGACAAAACCAACAAAGAAGAAAAAGACUAACGCUACCUUCCACUUCAAUAUGAUAUUUUGAUAGCAGCAGCAAGAGGCUAACUAUGUUGAAAUUGAGGGCAAUGCUCUAAAACAUAACAAUUUGCAGAAUCACUUGUCAGCACUGAAAUUUAGUCCUUCUUACUGGACAGAUCCAUUGCACCAAAGGAAAUAGCAGGAAGUCUUCCGCAGUCAUAAACAAAUACUAGUCUAGAAAGCCAGCCGAAAAAAUACUUGUAAAGUGCUCUGUCCCUGAGAAAUUUUAUCCACCAUUUAUCUCCUUGCUGCAUCCGUCCUGAUAAAUACGAUGCUGUGACAACCAUAGCGGCACGCCACCUCCUUUCCUUGACAUAAUCAUCUAUGGCUUUAGCCAUGUCUCCUGGAACAAUCAGGGCUCCAUUGUUUAUAAAUGAAUUGCCAAUGUGUCUGCCCAAUACCACAGCAUCUUCUAGUGAUGCACCACCACCGUUUCCUAGAUCAGGAGUCAUGGGGUGCAUAGCAUCACCAGCUACUGUCACAUUUCCUUUGCUUAGUUUUCCAAAUAUGAUCCCCCAUGGAGGCCUAAACAUCAAUGGUGCCCAUGACAAUGAGGAAAGAUCGGCAUGCCGCACCACGUCUAGGUAUUCUGAGGGAAAUUUUUCUGUACAUUUCUCAAGCACAUCCCUUUGCAUUUUCUCUGCCUCUCCUGACAUCUUUUCCCCUGAAAUCAAAAUUAGCUCACUAUAAAACUUUCCCUGAAAUGAUCUGAUCACAUGAACCAAUAUUUGUGUCUUGCUAAAAUGAGAGAGAAAUUAAAGGGAUGAAGAGUGCUAAGUGCUAGCCUUGGCCAGAAAAAAACCAGUAAAGUUCCCUAUCAUUAAGAGGAACAAAACCAGCCUUAUCGCUCUCAUCCAAGAAAAAACGAACUUCUUGUUUAAAUCCAUGGCCUUGAGGAAAAACUGCUAAACCCCGCACCGCUGAUCGACCUGAAUGGACCAGUUCUGCCAGUCCUAGCCAUCGUGCCACUACCGAGUGCACCCCAUCGCAGCCUAUCAGAACCUUAGAUUUGAUAGUAGUUCCAUCUUCCAAGUGUACAGCAGCCAUGGAAGCAUCACCUCCUUGUUCUAGACUUUGAAAAGCAACUAGCCUCGAAGAGAAUCGAAUUGAGUCAGUUGCCAAUUCCUCUGCCAGUGCCUCUAACAACACUUUACGGUGAAGAGUCCUAACUUGUCGAGGGUAGAGGACUUCUCGAACUUCUCCGGUACUAACAUUAGUUACGUAUCCCCUAAAUCGUGAGAAAAAGAAGUUCACGAGAAAUUAAUCUAUCAUCCAAAGCAUGGUAUUAAAAUCCAAAUUCAAGAAUUUAUAAAUAAUCAAACAUAAUGAAAAGAAAAAAUUAACAUGGUGAAACAAUUUAUUACUUGGGUGAAGGAGUAUAAAGGGGGAUGAGCUUGUGAGAAACACCAAGAGCAUCAAGGGCAAGCCAAGCAUUUGGAGAUAGGGUCAACGCUGUACCAGUGGCUCUUAGCCCUUCUGAUCUCUCUAACACCAGGGCUCGAACCCCUACUCUUUUCAAAGCCACUGCUGUUGCCAACCCUGCAAUUCCUGCUCCAACUAUCACCACAUCCUCCAUAAUUUCCAUCUCUCUCUCCCUCUGCGUGUAUGAGUGUUUCCUUCUACAGGGUACCUCAUCUUGUUCUUAUUAUAACCCCAUGUGCUUGGACUCCAAGUAUGAUCAUGACGCACUUGUAUACAUACCUUAUCUUGCAAGUAAUUAAGAAAAUAAUGUUUUUCUUCAUGGUUAUCUAGCCAAUUUGCGAGUUAAUAAAACUAAAUCUCGUUUUCGAACUAUUUAAAUAAAUAAAUAAAAAACUAGAGGCGGCUUUUUUGGAGAAAAAAAGAAAGAAAGAAAGAAGAAAGGCAAUCUCAUUGGUCAUUUAAAGUUUGUAUGAAAGAACUUUCGUUUUCAAAGAACUUUUUGUAUCAAAAUGUAUGAAAUAGGAAUUUGCCAUCUUCCAUCGUGUAAUGCAAUAAAAAUAUCUGUGCUUUGAUUAAGUCAAUAAAAAUAUCUGUGCUUUGAUUAAGUCAAUAAAAAUAUAGACACCAAACUGAAAUUUGCACUAACUCGAGUUAGAGUAUGAUCAAGCCUACAAAGUACAAACACUCCAUAACAGUACUAAAAGAAACGGUUUUGACUGAAUUUUUAUUUUUUCAGAACAUAAAUUAUAAAUUACAGGGUAUAGAAAGACAUGUUUUUAUGUUAUUUGUCUCGAGACAGUAAUCAAAUAAUAUAAAAGACUCGUUAACUAGUAAUUGAGAGCCAUCGUCUGAAACCACUCAUCUGCAGAAUCUAUAUGCCAAAAUUGAAUCUAGUCCUUCUUACUUGAGUGAUCCAUAUCACCGAAGGAUAUUUAAGAUUUGAAAUUAAUGAAAUAAAAGUGUUACAAAAAUUAAAAAUAAAAAAGGAUGGAAACUAACUUGUGGUGGAUCUAUGAUUUAAUGACACAGUCUUUUAAAAUAUCUUCAUCUCCUAUAGAAGUAAUUAUUAAAUCUACCUCAUCUCUGCAUGAUGGCUUGAAAAACUUACAAUCCAAGUAGCAAGACUCAUUCAAUUCUGAGUGUUUUUAAAAAUACAUUGUUUUUUAAAAUAUUUUUUAUUAUAAAAUAUAUUAAAAUAAUUUUUUUAUUUUUAAAAAAUUAUUUUUAAAAUCAACACAUUAAAAUGAUCUAAAAACAUUAAAAACAUAUUAAUUUAAAAUAAAAAAAUUAAAAAAAUUAAACUUUUUCACGGUAUAAAACACUGUCCGCUUAAGUUAAUAAUAUCUUUUAAAAAAAGUUUUCCUGUUAAUAAAAUAAUCAAUCAUGUAACCUAUGAGAUGACAUGAUAACGUAGUGAUCCAGGCUUUUUUUUUCUAGGUCAGCCCAUGAAUUGGUGUGGCAACUAUACUUAAAUCUCAUAAGUUAUGUUUUUAAUUUAUUUUCCUUGACAAUAAAAUAUUUUUUAUUACCCAAAUUGUUUUAGAUAAGAGGGUGCAUAAUAUAUUUAUGAAGCAUAUUCUACAUAAAACAAACUUAGUUAAAUAUUAUAGAGGAUGAUACCUACAAUAAUGUGAGGUAGCAAAACAAAACAACACUGACUAAAACAUAAUGAAAAAAGCAGAACCAAAACAAAAUUCUGACUACAUAAAAUAAGAUUCGAAUAUUAUUUUGAAAUUGGCAACCUCUAUCUCUACAAGUUGUAUGUACGUCUCAGCCUAUCGCUUCUGUAGCUGGUGGUAGAUAGAAAUUUCUGCAGCAGGAAGAUGGCACACCAUGAGGCAACAGAUGAUUGCUUUCAGCAGAAAUCCCUUAGGCAAAUACCGUUUGACAAGUCAACAGAGUCUCUCUCUUUGAACCAAAUUCUUUUUGUCAAAUCGGAUAGACAAGCAGAGGGUAAGAAACUUUGAAAAAUCUCUAGAAACCCUUGGAAGAUUUCUCUUUAAACUAAUCUUAGUUGUUAAUAGUUCAGGCUUUUAUUAAGAGAAGGCACAACAUUAAGAGGGUAUUCAAAACUUUUUGGUUAAGACCAUGAGAUCAUCGAGAGCUAUCAACAAAGGUAUAAUGAUUGUAACGUGUUUCUCGUUAUUUGUGAAAAAUAAUUUACAUUUUGAUAUGUAUAUGCACAACAUAAAAUUCAAAUCCUAUGUUGUUAGAAAAGAAAUCAGUCACCAUAUUUAUAUAUUUUGAUAACCACGUUAGUAAUUCGGCGUCGUCAGAACCUCCAAAAUAUAUUUCUAACUUUACUAUCACAAACAAAAUAAAUUCUUAGUAUAAUCAUGAUGUAACAUCCUCAAAUUAUAAUGUCAUAAAGUAUCAUAUUAGAAGGCUCUAUGCAAAUUUUUCAGAAUUUUCUGAUAACCCGAUCAAGAAUUACAAAUUUUUUUGUUUUACAUGAAACUAGUCAAUUUAUGAUUUUUCGCCUAGAGAUUUUACACGUGAAAACCAGGUUAAACUCAAGGGAAAUUUCGUUUAAUAUUUCUAUAAUAUACUGAAAUGAAAAAGAACAAAGGAUUUGAAUAAAAAUUAAAAAAAACAAAAUUCUGAAAAUAAAAUUAAUAAAUUGAUAUGUUGUUAACUCAGUUUAAAGGUUCUUACAUCCAUUUCUAUAAAUUUGUUGAUCAUCUAAGUAAAAUAAAUAUUCUUUUAUGUCAAGCAAAUAAAUUUGAUAUCCCUUAAAAUAGAGAGAAAUCGAUGAGAUUACGAGUACAUUAAUUAGACAAAGCUCUCUAAUCAAUUUCUUACCAUCAAACGAAUUUAAUAUUGAAAGCAAUUCUUAUUCACUCGGCAGUAGCCUUAGUAGUAAAGUCUGUGAAAUUAUUCUAAGCAAACUUUCAAAAGCUUGACAAUUUAACUUAAUUUAUUCUUUCCUAAUAAAUCAACAUGAGAAUUGCAACAAUCAAAUUAAUUCUUUUGCCUCUUAUUUUAGUCCCUAACAACAAUCACGGAUUGAAUGAAAUUAAAAAGCAUACAUGUCAUCUCAAAACAAUUCAAUAAGCUUGAAUAAUAGUCAAUAACAUAAUUCUGAAUAAGAAAAAAUAAAUAUUAAUUUUGAAAGAAUUACAAUGAUAACAUUACUUCUCAUAACUUGUUAAUGGAGAUGGUGUGUAUUUCUCUUGAACUAAAAGCCAAAGUUUAGUUCAUAACUGCUAGAGAAUUGACAAAAACAGAGAAAAAAAGAAUGUUGCAAAGCCUCUAUUUCAGUUGUGUUCUGCUCUAUUUAUUCUCUCCCUUGGCUGUCGAAUUUCUUCAGAAUUCUUAGGUUAAUUAGAAGUCCUUAUGCUACUUAACUCCUUCCUUCUUUAUAUGGUCCCUAAGGUUGGUUAAAUCUCUUAGAAUUUGGUUGAAAAUAGACUCUGUUGCUGUCACAACUUUGUUGUAAUUCCAACUCUGCUGCAACUUAGACUUUGUUUCUAACAUGAUUUCUUGCAAUAUUCGACCAUUUCAGCUAUAUUCUUUCAUUCAUGGCAUGUUAGAGGCUUGAUUUACGCCUUUCAUAGGUCCUAAGGCCCACCUUUUCUAUGCCAGACUAUUAGCUGUAAUGUGAUGCUCGGCACUGUUAGUUUCCUCAUCAAAUUAGAAGACCAAUCUCAUCCUUCAGAUUGCGUCCAACAGUUUGUCUUCAAAACGAUUUUAUCUGACCUGGAAUCCUUCAUAAAAGUUGUAGCCCUAGAUGUGUAGAUGAUUUUGGGCUUUUGAAUCAUAUGAUUUUGAUGUUUGAGACUCAAAGAUAUACUUAUUUGAAUCUGUAAUGUGAAAGUAGAGGAUUUUGUUAUUGCGGGUCUGAUUAGAGGUCCAAUAGAAUUCAUAUUUCUACCCAUAAUACCUUUCUAGGAAGCUUGAUAUGUUUACUUCAACUUUUAUUUAGCCCAUGUCCACAUUAUAAAAUUAUAACUUAGUAAACACUUGUCAUAUGAAGGAAAGUCUGAAACAUAAAAUAUAGAAAUUCUUAUAUUUUAGCAAUUAAUUUACAAGUUUCCUAUACAUACUAAACUCAUAAAAAUAACUUUUAAUAAGCCCAGAUAAGUUCAAAAUACAUAAAAUAUCUAUAAAGUAAUAAUAAAAACAUAUGUAUAUUUUGCACUUAUCAGUCAUAUUGUAAAAAAUAAUAAUUUAAAGUAAAGAAAUAUUAUUUAGUGCAUUUAGAUGAAUAAAUUAUUUUGAAUGGUGAUACCCAAAUUUGAAUUCAAAAAAUUAAAAUAAUUUCUCUUAAAUACCAACCUCACCAUUCAAUUUACAUAAAUGAUAUUUAUUAUAUAUACACACACACAUUAGUUUAUGCAUGGAUUUCUCACCUUACUGGGGUAAAAUGAAUGAGUUCUACAACAUCUUAUUUGCAUAUUUUUUGAAAAGUUGUUAAUUAAUGAUGCCAAACAUUUAAUUGGUGUUGAUAAUCACGAGAUUUCUUAAAUAACUUUCACACAUCUCAUUUGAGUAGACACCCAAAUUAGACUCCGAGUAAGUGCUUUUUUUAUUUUAGAAUUUUGAUUUUUCUUGCCUUGUAAAGAUCAAUUUCUAAUCUAAAAAAUGAUUAGAUUAGAAAUAGGAAUUUCCCAUCUUCCAUUGUGUAAUGCAAGAGCCUUUGGGUCUAAAUACAUUUUGUUAAUUUAUCUCUGCUUCGAUGGAGUCAAUAAAAAAUAUAGGCACCAAACUGAAAUCUGCACUAGCUCGAGUUGGAGUACGAUCAAGCCUACAAAGUACAAACACUCCAUAACAGUACCAAAAGAAACGGUUUUGAGUGAAUUUUUAUUUUUUCAGAACAUAAAUUAUAAAUUACAGAGCAUAGGAAGACAUGUUUUUUUUUUUUUUUUUCAUCUCGAGACAGUAACCAAAUAAUAUAAAAAGACUCGUUAACUAGUAAUUGAGAGCCAUCGUCUGAAACCACUCAUCUGCAGAAUCUAUAUGCCAAAAUUGAAUCUAGUCCUUCUUACUUGAGUGAUCCAUAUCACCGAAGGACAUAGCAGGAAGUUUGCCACAAUCUUUAUGCACAAGUCCAGAAAUCCUGCCAAAAAGAUACUGGUAAAAUAUUCCAUCCCUUAAAAAUUUCAUCCACCAUUUAUCUCCACCGAGCUGCACCCAUCCUGCUAAAUAUGAUCCUGUGACAAGAAAAGCAGGACGCCACCUCCUUUCCUUCACAUAAUCAUCUAUGGCUUUAGCCAUGUCUCCUGGAACAAUCAGCCCUCCAUUGUUUAUAACUGAAUUGCCAAUGUGUCUGCCCAAUACCACAGCAUCUUCUAGUGAUGCACCGCCGCCUUGUCCUAGAUCAGGAGUCAUGGGGUGCAUAGCAUCACCAGCUACUGUCACAUUUCCUUUGCUUAGCUUUCCAAAUAUGAUCCCCCAUGGCUGCCUAAACUUCAACAGUGCCCAUGUUAACGUUGAAAGAUCAGCAUGCCGGACCACGUCUAGGUAUGAUGAAGGAAACUUUUCUGCAUGUUUCUCAAGUACUUGUUUCUGUAUAUGUUCGGGAUCUCCCGUCAUGUUAUCUCCUGAAUUGAAAAUUAGUUCAGAAUAAAUGUUCCGUGCAAUGAUCUGACAUGAACGAUCAUUUGUGUCCAGCUAAAACGAGAAAGAAGGAAGGGUUUAGUGCUAACCGUUGUAGGUUAAAAACCAGUAAAGUUCUCUGUCAUUAAGAGGAACAAAACCAGCUCUUUUGCCCACAUCCACAAACCGAUGAACUUCUUGCUUAAAUCCAUGGCCUUGAGGAAAAACUGCUAAACCUCGC
rnacentral:lncRNA from 1 species